GGAGGUGUUGCGCAGUCUGGUUAGCGCAUCUGUUUUGGGUACAUAGGGCCAUAGGUUCGAAUCCUGUCCCCGCCU
rnacentral:tRNA from 15 species